GUGUCAGCAGCCGCGGUAAGACGAGCCACACAAACGUUAUUCGGAAUUACUGGGCUUAAAGGGUGCGUAGGCUGCGCGGAAAGUGGGGUGUGAAAUCCCUCAGCUCAACUGAGGAACUGCGCUCCAAACUACCGUGCUUGAGUGAGACAGAGGUAAGCGGAACUUCGGGUGGAGCGGUGAAAUGCGUUGAUAUCCGAAGGAACACCGGUGGCGAAAGCGGCUUACUGGGUCUCAACUGACGCUGAUGCACGAAAGCUAGGGUAGCAAACGGGAUUAGAUACCCUAGUAGUCC
rnacentral:rRNA from 1 species